GGAGGCAUCCAAGACCAGGCAUUUGAUUAUCUUUGUUUAUCUUUCCCUGGAAGAAAUAAAUAAGAACUGCCAUCUUUUACCCAACAUUUCUCUAGUAUUUAACAUUUAAAAAUAUGGUGAGAAAACUGGUUUGGUUUUGAAAAGUAAUGAUCUUAUUCCUAAUUACAACUGGACAAAUAAGAGAAGAUAUUUAAUUUUACUUACAUCACUGUUAUGGACAGUAUCUAUAAUCCUUGGUCUGUUCCUUUUCAUGUCCAGAAUUCCUGAGUUAAGUCAACUUUACUGUGGUAAUUUCCAUUGUUCUCUGAGUGAUAAUGAACAAUUUCCUCACCUUUACCAGAUAUCUCCAUAGGACACAUCUCUAAAACGAGCCAUGGUGUACUUACUUGAUCAUUUCAGAUGGAACUGGAUAGGAGUGAUCGUAACAAAUGAUGACCAUGGAAUUCAAUUCCUUUCUGAAUUGAGAGGAGAAAUGCAAAACAACAUUGUCUGUUUAUCAGUUGCUAUUAUUACCAAAACUGAGAAUUUCAUGGCCUUUAAAUUAUGAAUUAUGAACAAAUCUUAAUGUCAUCAGCAAAAGUUGUGAUAGGUUAUAUAUACAAAGACUCACCCAUAAUCUAUGCCCUCCUCCUGUGCAAAUCUCAAGACAUUUUUAGAAUCUGGGUAGGUGUGUCACAAUUUGAUAUGAUUAUGAGUCCAGGAGAUUUAUUUCUAUACUCCUGACUGGGACUUUCAUUUUUUUCACACCAGAAAUCUGGCUUUGAACAAGUUAUCCAAAGAGUACAUCCUUCAAACUACAGUAGUGAAUUUCCCUUUGCCAAACUAUAUUGGACAUAUUUUAGAUGUUCUUUGCCAUCAUCUCAUUGUAAGAAACUGAAGAAUUGUCUCACCAAAACUGUAUUUAGACAGUUAUUCAUGACACCACUUGGAAUGGCCAUGAGUGAUACAUGCUAUAACUUAGACAAUGCUAUAUAUGCUGUGGCCCACUCAGUCCAUGAGAUGCUUCUACAACAAGUAGACCGAUGAUCAAAGAAUGCUGGGAAGGAACUGGAAUUUGACCCUUGGAAG
rnacentral:lncRNA from 1 species